UUUUAACAGUAGAAGAAAGAAAAGAAAAUAUAAUCGAGUAAGAAGAAAAGAAAAAAAUUUGGUAGAGAUGGGGGAGAUAAAACAUCAGAAAGAUGGAAAGAAAAAAAACUCUCUCUUUUUCGAAAAAGAAAAAAGUGAUCAGAUUUUGGAUAUUCUCCCCCAUAAUCCCCUAAUUCACUCCUAAAAUUGCUCCCUCACUUCCCACUUCACAUCCUCCACUCAGAAACCCAGUUCAACACAACUCUUAUUGAAAUUAGAAGUAAAAAGACAACCUUUACCGUCCCAAAGAGUCAGACCCAUGACCUCCCUCACACCAACACUCC
rnacentral:lncRNA from 1 species